UGCACGCAUGAACGUAAGUCGCUUUGAAUAAAAGCAUCUGCUAAAUGACUUAUA
rfam:Salmo salar isolate Sally breed double haploid chromosome ssa13, whole genome shotgun sequence.